CUACACACCGAUGAUACAAAAAGUAACGGAGGACCUGCAGAACUUGAGGGACUUGUCUUUGUCAUGGCGUCUAACCUCCAACACUAUCAAACUCGAUCAGCACCUGGGACAAACUCACCCAGAAAUUCCCUAUUGUCAACAACCCGUCACCACUGACACCCAUACUGUGCAACAAAGCAUUCAGCCCAGGCAUGAACCCAAAAGACUUUGCACACUAUGAAUAUAACGACCUCUAUAGGAUCUACCACUUCUUCGAAGGAGGAAAACUACUGCAAUACAAAGAUCUCCCCCAACAACACACACCAUACAACACACACAACUUUUUCAGAUACAUACAGCUAAAGAGGUUUCUGGAACUCCCAGAAAACAUGACAGCAGCCACCACCAGACACACACCAUUUGAACGAGCAUGUAUACACAACCCAGCCCGCAAGGGCCAGAUCACAGACAACUACAUAUUACUAAUUACUGCUCAUCCCCCAGGAGCAAUGGCCUAUGUGGCACCUUGGGAGAGGGACCUAGGACCACCGGGGGACCCGACGGACUGGCAGGAUAUAUGGGAGGCCACGGCUUCUAUCUCUAUAUGUGUCAAUCACAAGGAACAGGCCUACAAAACACUACUAAGAUGGUAGCUAACUCCAGCAUGACUAUACCACAUGGGUAAGACUGACACAGACCUCUGCUGGAAACAGUGUGGACAAAGGGGAACAUACAUUCACCAAUGGUGGCAAUGCCCAAAACUAGCACCGCUAUGGGCAGAGGUCGCCCGUCUGGUCUCCAACUUACUCCACAUAGACAUCCCCCUAGACCAAUGGAUAUGGCUCCUAUCCAAACCCUGGGAACCCUUAACCAGAGCCCAAAACAAACUAACAAAUAGAAUGGCCCUGGCAACCAGAAGGGCAAUAGCAGAACUCUGGGGCACCCCUGAGGUCCCCACAUUGUCCACAAUUAUCCGUAAGACUAGGGAAGCCAUUGAAAUGGACAGACUCUCAGCCCAGGUCCACGAAACGUCACACCACUUUUACAAAAUAUGGGACCCAUGGCUGAACGAACCUUCCCUAACAAAACCGAAUCUCACUACACCACAGCCCUCACGAAUGGCCAACAGAAGCAUAGAAUAGCAUAGAAACCUGAGGGGGGGAACCCAACAGCAAAGCAUACAGGGAAGACCCCACAAAGGCCCAUACCCACAACCCAACAGGGUAAGCCCACAACAGAUCCUAGCUGGCACCCAAAACCCGAGAAUAGAACCACCAAAGCCUCCCGUGAACACAACACUCAACCACCGAGACCAACGGUUGAAUUUGUUUAUACUUGAAUGUAUAUUUAUGUUUAUAUUUAAGCUUCAUUGUUUUCUAUGGUUUAACUAUAAUGCAA